AUUGAACGCUGGCGGCAGGCCUAACACAUGCAAGUCGAACGAGUGGCGGACGGGUGAGUAAUGUCUGGGAAUCUAGCUUAUGGAGGGGGAUAACUACGGGAAACUGUAGCUAAUACCGCGUACCAUAGGAUGAGCCCAAGUGGGAUUAGGUAGUUGGUGGGGUAACGGCUCACCAAUCCGACGAUCCCUAGCUGGUCUGAGAGGAUGACCAGCCACACUGGAACUGAGACACGGCCCAGACUCCUACGGGAGGCAGCAGUGGGGAAUAUUGCACAAUGGGCGCAAGCCUGAUGCAGCCAUGCCGCGUGUAUGAAGAAGGCCUUAGGGUUGUAAAGUACUUUCAGUCGGGAGGCGUUACCGACAGAAGAAGCACCGGCUAACUCCGUGCCAGCCGCCGCGGUAAUAC
rnacentral:rRNA from 1 species